rnacentral:rRNA from 1 species
GUGACUGCGUACCUUUUGUAUAAUGGGUCAGCGACUUAUAUUCUGUAGCAAGGUUAACCGAAUAGGGGAGCCGGAGGGAAACCGAGUCUUAAUUGGGCGUUAAGUUGCAGGGUAUAGACCCGAAACCCGGUGAUCUAGCCAUGGGCAGGUUGAAGGUUGGGUAACACUAACUGGAGGACCGAACCGACUAAUGUUGAAAAAUUAGCGGAUGACCUGUGGCUGGGGGUGAAAGGCCAAUCAAACCGGGAGAUAGCUGGUUCUCCCCGAAAGCUAUUUAGGUAGCGCCUCGUGAAUUCAUCUCCGGGGGUAGAGCACUGUUUCGGCUAGGGGGCCAUCCCGGCUUACCAACCCGAUGCAAACUGCGAAUACCGGAGAAUGUUAUCACGGGAGACACACGGCGGGUGCUAACGUCCGUCGUGAAGAGGGAAACAACCCAGACCGCCAGCUAAGGUCCCAAAGUCAUGGUUAAGUGGGAAACGAUGUGGGAAGGCCCAGACAGCCAGGAUGUUGGCUUAGAAGCAGCCAUCAUUUAAAGAAAGCGUAAUAGCUCACUGGUCGAGUCGGCCUGCGCGGAAGAUGUAACGGGGCUAAACCAUGCACCGAAGCUGCGGCAGCGACGUUUAUGCGUUGUUGGGUAGGGGAGCGUUCUGUAAGCCUGCGAAGGUGGCCUGUGAGGGUUGCUGGAGGUAUCAGAAGUGCGAAUGCUGACAUAAGUAACGAUAAAGCGGGUGAAAAGCCCGC